CGACCCCAGGACGGGCG
rnacentral:rRNA from 1 species